GAAUAUCUAGAAAGUAUAACCCUGUUAUCAGCAGAACUUUUACAUUUUGGACGAUUUCAAAUUAAUUCUUACCGUCAAUCACGUCAUCCUUCUCCGUCCCUCGAAAGCGUUCCCUAAGAAACAGUCUAUCAGCGACUACGGAUGCCUGAUUCUUUGACUUUAUUCGUUAUACUCACUGUUCGAUGAUGCUCGACGAUCCACGUAUCCUAAAAUUAUAACCAAAAGAGGUUCGUCACCCCAUCCUGUUUUCCUGGUACGUGGAGGUGCUACAGGUGGUUGUGCCGAUUUCACAGAAGAUGACGAUACAGGACUUUCCAAAAGAUCAUCGUCUAGUUUCGAAUCGUCUUGUACGAUGUUCUGUGUCGAUCUUCUACCAAGACGAGGCAAAAGCUGAAAAUCAAUACUUUUUUUUUAACUUAACCGCUCUGUUGCUACCAGCAAUCGAUUACAAGAAAUGUGUACAAUGGACAAGGGUGAAUAUUUAAAAACUUACUUUUUUCGAGAGGCAAAUAAAAACCGUGUUUGCGAGCGGUAACCAUAACAACCGAACGGCCUGGUGACUCGAGCGGUGAAUCGACUUUGCUCGUCCCUGCAUUCGCCUUGCUCCCCUCUUUCGUUCGGGAAGUAGCGCGAGAAACGUGACUGGAAACGCGUCAGUGGAACGGUCAAAACCGGUUCCAAGUACCCUUUGAUUAGAGCGCGUCUUUUUAAACAAUAUAUUAAAAGGAUUCUGUUUAGAAAUAAGCUCAAAUCGUAAUAUGAAAGGUAAAAUUAACAGUGCUAUGUUUAUUUCUUGUAUUUAACUAUACAUACGUUCUUUACGCGCAUUAAAGUAACUCAACGGAAAUACAAUCUCAUUGGGACUUGUUUCAGGUAUCUUGUAUCAUAGAUAUUGCGUUCUAAAGGAUAGCAGUUUAAUAAUGCUUGGUGUCAUCGAUUUGUCGUUGAUAUUCCUCAUCAUCGGGAUUCGCCUCACACGCGUUGUCAUUGUUUGGUGGUCUUACUCCGUUGUACCUAUAAUUUCAAUCAUGUUGUAAGUUACAUAAAUAAAAGGUACAAUAUUAUCUUAA